rnacentral:rRNA from 1 species
UACGUAGGGUGCGAGCGUUGUCCGGAAUUAUUGGGCGUAAAGAGCUUGUAGGCGGUCUGUCGCGUCUGCUGUGAAAAUCCGGGGCUCAACCCCGGACUUGCAGUGGGUACGGGCAGACUAGAGUGUGGUAGGGGAGACUGGAAUUCCUGGUGUAGCGGUGAAAUGCGCAGAUAUCAGGAGGAACACCGAUGGCGAAGGCAGGUCUCUGGGCCACUACUGACGCUGAGAAGCGAAAGCAUGGGGAGCGAAUAGG